rnacentral:rRNA from 1 species
UACGGAGGAUCCGAGCGUUAUCCGGAUUUAUUGGGCGUAAAGGGAGCGUAGGCGGACUUUUAAGUGAGAUGUGAAAUACCCGGGCUCAACUUGGGUGCUGCAUUUCAAACUGGAAGUCUAGAGUGCAGGAGAGGAGAAUGGAAUUCCUGGUGUAGCGGUGAAAUGCGUAGAGAUUAGGAAGAACACCAGUGGCGAAGGCGAUUCUCUGGACUGUAACUGACGCUGAGGCUCGAAAGCGUGGGGAGCAAACAGGAUUAGAUACCCU